CGUACAUCAAUCUCUCUCUAUCAAUAAAAAGUACUUUCUCACAAAGCGCUCUCUUUAGGAGACCCCUUGAAACGAUCGCUGUCCACUGCCUGACAAUCUGCCUGAAGUUCCUACUUCUACUCUCUGCUGGUGUCUCUCCAGGAUCUGCUGCUGUUCAGGUCUCUGCCGAACUCCAUGCCACCAGGUUCUCUGUUGCUACCGUCUGCCACAGGUCUCUUGCCCACAAGAUCUUUUAAUGGCCUCAGAUCGAGUCUGGAUCGGAGACUAAACUUCGAUUAUAACUCUAAAACCCCUGACAGUCAUUUGAUCAAAGCCACAAUGCGUUUUGGCCGUCAGAUCACGCUCAAUCGUACCUGUGCACUAUUUAGUCCACAAGAACAAUCGUGAGCCGUGAUAAAUGCAGUAGGAAAUGGCGUUGGUCCAUAAUGGACCACACAAAUCGUUGGGGAAACAGGCUCCUCGCCCGUGCGCCCGCUGGGCCUCCCGCGCGUGCCCGCUGGGCCACGCCUAUGGCCGGCCGCAUGCGCCCGUGCUGGGCCUGCCUGCACGUUGGGCCACACUCGCCUGCAUGCGCCCGCAUGCUGGGCUGCGCGCUUGGCUGGGCUGCACGCCUGGCUGGGUCGGGCCGCGAGCUGCUGCAGACCCUCCUGACC
rnacentral:lncRNA from 1 species